AUUGAACGCUGGCGGCAGGCCUAACACAUGCAAGUCGAACGGUAACAGGAAGAAGCUUGCUUCUUUGCUGACGAGUGGCGGACGGGUGAGUAAUGUCUGGGAAACUGCCUGAUGGAGGGGGAUAACUACUGGAAACGGCAGCUAAUACCGCAUAACGUCGCAAGACCAAAGAGGGGGACCUUCGGGCCUCUUGCCAUCGGAUGUGCCCAGAUGGGAUUAGCUAGUUGGUGGGGUAACGGCUCACCAAGGCGACGAUCCCUAGCUGGUCUGAGAGGAAGACCAGCCACACUGGAACUGAGACACGGUCCAGACUCCUACGGGAGGCAGCAGUGGGGAAUAUUGCACGAUGGGCGCAAGCCUGAUGCAGCCAUGCCGCGUGUAUGAAGAAGGCCUUCGGGUUGUAAAGUACUUUCAGCGGGGAGGAAGGGGGUAAAGUUAAUACCUUUGCUCAUUGACGUUACCCGCAGAAGAAGCACCGGCUAACUCCGUGCCAGCCGCCGCGGUAA
rnacentral:rRNA from 1 species